rnacentral:rRNA from 1 species
AGUGAACGCUGGCGGUAGGCCUAACACAUGCAAGUCGAACGGCAGCACAGUAAGAGCUUGCUCUUACGGGUGGCGAGUGGCGGACGGGUGAGGAAUACAUCGGAAUCUACUUUUUCGUGGGGGAUAACGUAGGGAAACUUACGCUAAUACCGCAUACGACCUACGGGUGAAAGCAGGGGAUCUUCGGACCUUGCGCGAUUCAAUGAGCCGAUGUCGGAUUAGCUAGUUGGCGGGGUAAAGGCCCACCAAGGCGACGAUCCGUAGCUGGUCUGAGAGGAUGAUCAGCCACACUGGAACUGAGACACGGUCCAGACUCCUACGGGAGGCAGCAGUGGGGAAUAUUGGACAAUGGGCGGAAGCCUGAUCCAGCCAUACCGCGUGGGUGAAGAGGGCCUUCGGGUUGUAAAGCCCUUUUGUUGGGAAAGAAAAGCAGCAGGUUAAUCCCCCGCUGUUCUGACGGUACCCAAAGAAUAAGCACCGGCUAACUUCGUG